GAUGAACGCUGGCGGCGUGCCUAAUCCAUGCAAGUCGAGCGAACAGACGAGGAGCUUGCUCCUCUGACGUUAGCGGCGGACGGGUGAGUACCACGUGGAUAACCUACCUUUAAGACUGGGAUAACUUCGGGAAACCGGAGCUAAUACCGGAUAAUUUAUUGACCCGCAUGGUUCAUUAGUGAAAGACGGUUUUGCUGUCACUUAUAGUUGGAUCCGCGCCGCAUUAGCUAGUUGGUAAGGUAACGGCUUACCAAGGCAACGAUGCGUAGCCGACCUGAGAGGGUGAUCGGCCACACUGGAACUGAGACACGGUCCAGACUCCUACGGGAGGCAGCAGUAGGGAAUCUUCCGCAAUGGGCGAAAGCCUGACGGAGCAACGCCGCGUGAGUGAUGAAGGUCUUCGGAUCGUAAAACUCUGUUAUUAGGGAAGAACAAAUGUGUAAGUAACUAUGCACGUCUUGACGGUACCUAAUCAGAAAGCCACGGCUAACUACGUG
rnacentral:rRNA from 1 species